UACGAAGGGGGCUAGCGUUGCUCGGAAUUACUGGGCGUAAAGCGCGCGUAGGCGGAUCGUUAAGUCAGGGGUGAAAUCCUGGAGCUCAACUCCAGAACUGCCUUUGAUACUGAGGAUCUUGAGUUCGGGAGAGGUGAGUGGAACUGCGAGUGUAGAGGUGAAAUUCGUAGAUAUUCGCAAGAACACCAGUGGCGAAGGCGGCUCACUGGCCCGAUACUGACGCUGAGGCACGAAAGCGUGGGGAGCAAACAGG
rnacentral:rRNA from 1 species